UGAAAUAAUGGCAUGUUUUUUUUUCUUCCAGCAUUGAUGUUGCUUCAGAUUGUCUUAACAUAUCCUAUAGUCUUGUGUUGUAAUAUUCCAUGAUUAUUUCUCAAAGGGAAUGUUUAUAUGAGUCAUUGUCUUUCAACAUAUUUUUCCAAAACUUUUGAUCAUUUUACUCUGUAUCAAAUUUAUAAAAGCACUUUUAUCAAAAGAAAUGUACUUUUUCUUUUCUUUUAUAUGUAUACAUACAUAUGUAUAUAUUUAAAGAUUUAUUUAUUUAUUUUAGAGAGAGUGUGCAGGGGAUGGGGGAGAGGGAGAAAGAAUCUCAAGCAGACUCCAUGCUGAGCAUGGAGCCCAUCGCGGGGCUUGAUCUCUCCACCCUGAGAUCAGGACCUGAGAUGAAACCAGGAGUCAGGCACUUGACUGACUGUACCACCCAGGCACCCCUAAGAACUCUUUUUCAAAUGUAUGUUUCUCCUGUGUCAAGAAAGACCCUUUAAUUGUCUUGGUUCUGUUGUUACUUGGUGUAUUUAAAAUAUAGAUAUAGUGAUGUAUACUUUUUUAAAUUUACUAGUUCAAAAUACCUGGACACCAUUUAGUAAAUGAACAAUUAGAUGCUUUGAAUUUUAUCAUAGAAUCUAAGAGCAUCCAAGGUAAUUUUUGUAAAUUAACAUAUAAUUUAAGUCCUAUAACCUGUUGUGAUAAGUUCUAAUUUUCUAGGACUGAUUUUCAAGAAAAUGAAGACUGCUGGAAUAUUCAACCCUGAUGAAAAUAAUUUUGGAGUAGCAUAAGGCAUGAGGGACACCUACCAGAGAUUGUGGGACAGAGAAUUCUCUCUUAAUGUUAAAGGUUUUAUUUAUUUGGCAGAGAGCACAAGCCGGGGGAAGGGCAGAGG